GUUCCUAUGACACGAUUUAUCACCUGGUGAGCGCGGCGCCUGGCGGCCGGGUCUAGCGGGUUGUGGAGGCACCACUCUGUUGAGUGUGUGCCUGCUAGUUAAUCUAGUGCUUGUAGCGUUUCAUACCCAGUAGGAGAAUUAUGCAGGUCACACACGGCACUUCCGGUCACUUCCGGUCCGGGAAGCUUAAAUAGCAGUCCCAGUUCUGUGAGUAAUGAUGCAGCACAGGGACGAAUUGCACCUCUCCCCACCAGUAUCAUUUGGCAAAGAGAUUUGCAGAGUGUCGGGUGACCGGCAAAGAGAUCUGCAAAGUGUCAUUUGAAGACGACGGGAGGGGUUGCAGAGGUAGCAAUGACUGGAGUAUAACAUGCAGGAGAUCAUCAUUUGGCAAAGUUCUGGCAAAGAGAUUUGCAGAGUGUCGGGUGACCGUCAAAGAGAUCUGCAAAGUGUCAGUUAAAGACGACGGGAGGGGUCGCAGAGGAAUUAGUGACUGGAGAAUAGCAUGCA